GAAGGUAUAGCUCAGUGGUAGAGCACAUGCUUAGCAUGCAUGCGAUUCUGGGUUCAAUCCCCAGUACCUUCA
rnacentral:tRNA from 1 species